rnacentral:rRNA from 1 species
CCCACUGCUAUCGAGAGGGACUAAGCCUGCUAGUCGUGCGCGUCCAACCAUGAGGACGAGCGGCAGACCGCUCAGUAACACGUAGCUAACCUACCCUCAGGACGUGGAUAACCCCGGGAAACUGGGGCUAAUCCGCGAUAGGUAUGAAGGCCUGGAAUGGUUUCAUGCCCAAUGGCACAGCAAUCAUGUUUGUUGUGUGCCUGAGGAUGGGGCUGCGGCUGAUCAGGUUGUUGGCGAGGUAAUGGCUCACCAAGCCUUUUACCGGUGCGGGCCGUGGGAGCGGGAGCCCGGAGAUGGGUACUGAGACAAGGGCCCAGGCCCUACGGGGCGCAGCAGUCGCGAAAACUUUGCAAUACACGAAAGUGUGACAGGGCUAUCCCGAGUGCCAUCCGCUGAGGAAGGCUUUUACCCAGUCUAGAACGCUGGGGGAAUAAGGAGAGGGCAAGUCUGGUGUCAGCCGCCGCGGUAAUACCAGCUCUCCGAGUGGUGUGGAUGUUUAUUGGGCCUAAAGCAUCCGUAGCUGGCUGAGUUAGUCCCUUGUUAAAUCCACCGAAUUAAUCGUUGGAUCGCGGGGGAUACUGCUUGGCUAGGGGACGAGAGAGGCAGACGGUAUUUUCGGGGUAGGGGUGAAAUCCUAUAAUCCCGGGAAGACCACCAGUGGCGAAGGCUGUCUGCUAGAACGCGCCCGACGGUGAGGGAUGAAAGCUGGGGGAGCGAACCGGAUUAGAUACCCGGGUAGUCCCAGCUGUAAACGAUGCAGACUAGGUGUUUGGACGGCCACGUGCCGUUCUAGUGCCGCAGGGAAGCUGUUAAGUCUGCCGCCUGGGGAGUACGAUCGCAAGAUUGAAACUUAAAGGAAUUGGCGGGGGAGCACCACAAGGGGUGAAGN